GACGAACGCUGGCGGCGUGCUUAACACAUGCAAGUCGAACGGAAAGGCCCUGCUUUUGUGGGGUGCUCGAGUGGCGAACGGGUGAGUAACACGCGAGUAACCUGCCCUUGACUUUGGGAUAACUUCAGGAAACUGGGGCUAAUAUCGGAUAGGAGCUCCUGCUGCAUGGUGGGGGUUGGAAAGUUUCGGCGGUUGGGGAUGGACUCGCGGCUUAUCAGCUUGUUGGUGGGGUAGUGGCUUACCAAGGCUUUGACGGGUAGCCGGCCUGAGAGGGUGACCGGCCACAUUGGGACUGAGAUACGGCCCAGACUCCUACGGGAGGCAGCAGUGGGGAAUAUUGCACAAUGGGCGGAAGCCUGAUGCAGCAACGCCGCGUGCGGGAUGACGGCCUUCGGGUUGUAAACCGCUUUCGCCUGUGACGAAGCGUGAGUGACGGUAAUGGGUAAAGAAGCACCGGCUAACUACGUG
rnacentral:rRNA from 1 species